rnacentral:tRNA from 1 species
GCGGGAGUGGUGGAAUUGGCAGACACGCAAGGUUUAGGUCCUUGUGCCUUCAGUGGCGUAGGGGUUCAAGUCCCCUCUCCCGCA